GCGGAUGUGGCGAAAUUGGCAGACGCGCCAGACUUAGAAUCUGGUGCCGCAAGGCGUGGGGGUUCAAGUCCCUCCAUCCGCA
rnacentral:tRNA from 1 species